UACGGAGGGUGCAAGCGUUAUCCGGAAUCACUGGGUUUAAAGGGUGCGUAGGCGGUCAGAUAAGUCAGUUGUGAAAUACCCCGGCUUAACCGGCGGAACUGCGAUUGAUACUGUUUGACUUGAAUCAGGUUGAGGUAGGCGGAAUGUGGCAUGUAGCGGUGAAAUGCUUAGAUAUGCCAUAGAACACCGAUUGCGAAGGCAGCUUGCUGGACCUGUAUUGACGCUGAGGCACGAAAGCGUGGGGAUCAAACAGG
rnacentral:rRNA from 1 species